GUGCUCACUUCGGCAGCACAUAUACUAAAAUCGGAACUAUACAGAGAAGAUGAGCACGGCCCCUGCCUGAGGAUGA
ensembl:snRNA U6 U6 spliceosomal RNA